AUGACGAACAUUUAGAGGAAUCGAUACUGACGUGUUCAUGGACUUAAAAUGAUGUCUACCCACGUUAUUGUCAUAAUUGAAUGCAAAUCAAAGGGUUUGAGUGGCUGCAAAACACACCUCGAUCUAGCAAUAGCAAUAAAUCAUUGGAACACAACUUGGCGAAGAGGUCCUAACAUGUAAACAACAUGCUAAAGGAAAUGUGGACACUAUUCUCUAGGCAAACUGGGAUCUUGUACAGGAAUGCCAAAGGCCCAUUUCAAAAUGUUCUGAAGAGCUAAAGAAUCAGGAAACCUCAGCUGUGCCAAAAAGACAAAGAGACAAUGUAUUUCAAGUGCUGCAGAAGCAAAAGCUGUCCUGCUUACUAUAUCAGAUCUGUUUGACAAGAGGAUCGAAUGUACACUGCAACAAAUGCCUGCUGGACAAUGUGAUCAGAGUUGAGUAAUCAAGUUUGUAGCUCCCUCACUUUGAGAGAAAACUUGAAACAGAAAAAACAACAACAAUAACAACAACAACAAUGACAACAACAACAGCAAGAGGAUAGAUUUGGCUACAAGUUCAAGUUAUUAACAGUUGAACAAUGUAUUAUGAUGAGAUUGCAGUCACGGUGGAAUUUUUUGUGAUGUCAAAGUGGAUUAAAAACUGAAACAGUGAUGUACUACUUAUGUCAGGUUUGGGAAACAUUUGGUUAACACUAGGCACUACCAAUCAGAUUAGCUGCAUGAGUUGCAAGAUCAAUAAUCCCAUUUUUAAGGUCAGUUUUCCCUAAUUGUUUCACAUGGGGAAUUUUCUCAAAAUUGAAGAAAUCUUACUUCCUCCAACAGUGUGAAGUCACGCACUUCCCAAGAAUAACAAAUAAAAAUCAGAAAUUAAUUAGCCACCGUAACGAUUACAAAAGAAAUUAAUUAGACUCUUAAAAGGGCAAAAGAGAAAAAUUGACCUCUUUUAUACUUAAGGGUAUGAUUCUUAUCCUUUUUGUGGAUGGAAAAUGAGAAAAUAUCCUUGAAAAAUUAUGGUGGCAUUCAAGGGGAAAAGUGUCAU